rnacentral:piRNA from 1 species
UAAGUCUCUGUGCUAUCCAGCUUCUGGUU